CCUGGUGUCAGCCGCCGCGGUAAUACCAGCUCUCCGAGUGGUGAGGACGAUUAUUGGGCUUAAAGCGUUCGUAGCCGGCUUGACAAGUCUUUCGUUAAAUUCAACGAUUUAAUCGUUGGUCUGCGGGAGAUACUGUUGGGCUAGGAGGCGGGAGAAGCCGACGGUAUUCUCGGGGUAGGGGUGAAAUCCUGUAAUCCCGGGAGGACCACCAGUGGCGAAGGCGGUCGGCUAGAACGCGCUCGACGGUGAGGGACGAAAGCUAGGGGAGCGAACCGGAUUAGAGACCCGGAUAGUCCUAGCUGUAAACGAUGCGGGCUAGGUGUUGGGGUGGCUACGGGCCACUUCAGUGCCGCAUGGAAGCAAUUAA
rnacentral:rRNA from 1 species